rnacentral:rRNA from 1 species
GAUGAACGCUGGCGGCGUGCCUAAUACAUGCAAGUCGAGCGAACAGACGAGGAGCUUGCUCCUCUGACGUUAGCGGCGGACGGGUGAGUAACACGUGGAUAACCUACCUAUAAGACUGGGAUAACUUCGGGAAACCGGAGCUAAUACCGGAUAAUAUAUUGAACCGCAUGGUUCAAUAGUGAAAGACGGUUUUGCUGUCACUUAUAGAUGGAUCCGCGCCGCAUUAGCUAGUUGGUAAGGUAACGGCUUACCAAGGCAAGGAUGCGUAGCCGACCUGAGAGGGUGGUCGCGCACACUGGCACUGAGAAACGGUCCAGACUCCUACGGGAGGAAGCAGUAGGGAAUCUUCCGCAAUGGGGGAAAGCCUGACGGAGCAACGCCGCGUGAGUGAUGAAGGUCUUCGGAUCGUAAAACUCUGUUAUUAGGGAAGAACAAAUGUGUAAGUAACUAUGCACGUCUUGACGGUACCUAAUCAGAAAGCCACGGCUAACUACGUG